AGAGUUUGAUUAUGGCUCAGAUUGAACGCUGGCGGCAGGCCUAACACAUGCAAGUCGAGCGGUAGAGAGAAGCUUGCUUCUCUUGAGAGCGGCGGACGGGUGAGUAAUGCCUAGGAAUCUGCCUGGUAGUGGGGGAUAACGUUCGGAAACGGACGCUAAUACCGCAUACGUCCUACGGGAGAAAGCAGGGGACCUUCGGGCCUUGCGCUAUCAGAUGAGCCUAGGUCGGAUUAGCUAGUUGGUGAGGUAAUGGCUCACCAAGGCGACGAUCCGUAACUGGUCUGAGAGGAUGAUCAGUCACACUGGAACUGAGACACGGUCCAGACUCCUACGGGAGGCAGCAGUGGGGAAUAUUGGACAAUGGGCGAAAGCCUGAUCCAGCCAUGCCGCGUGUGUGAAGAAGGUCUUCGGAUUGUAAAGCACUUUAAGUUGGGAGGAAGGGCAGUUACCUAAUACGUGAUUGUUUUGACGUUACCGACAGAAUAAGCACCGGCUAACUCUGUGCCAGCAGCCGCGGUAAU
rnacentral:rRNA from 2 species